AUGUUAUCACGGGAGACACACGGCGGGUGCUAACGUUCGUCGUGAAGAGGGAAACAACCCAGACCGCCGGCUAAGGUCCCAAAGUCAUAAUUAAGUGGGAAACGAAGUGGGAAGGCUCAGACAGCCAGGAUGUUGGCUUAGAAGCAGCCAUCAUUUAAAGAAAGCGUAAUAGCUCACUGGUCGAGUCGGCCUGCGCGGAAGAUGUAACGGGGCUAAAUUAUGCACCGAAGCCGCGGCAGCGAUAUGUAAAUAUUGUUGGGUAGGGGAGCGUUCUGUAAGCCUGUGAAGGUGGCCUGUGAGGGCUGCUGGAGGUAUCAGAAGUGCGAAUGCUGACAUAAGUAACGAUAAUGCGGGUGAAAAACCCGCACGCCGGAAGACCAAGGGUUCCUGUCC
rnacentral:rRNA from 1 species